UACGAAGGGGCUAGCGUUGCUCGGAAUCACUGGGCGUAAAGCGCACGUAGGCGGAUCUUUAAGUCAGGGGUGAAAUCCUGGAGCUCAACUCCAGAACUGCCUUUGAUACUGGGGAUCUCGAGUCCGGAAGAGGUGAGUGGAACUCCGAGUGUAGAGGUGAAAUUCGUAGAUAUUCGGAAGAACACCAGUGGCGAAGGCGGCUCACUGGUCCGGUACUGACGCUGAGGUGCGAAAGCGUGGGGAGCAAACAGGG
rnacentral:rRNA from 1 species